GACGAACGCUGGCGGCGUGCUUAACACAUGCAAGUCGAGCGGUAAGGCCCUUUCAGGGGUACACGAGCGGCGAACGGGUGAGUAACACGUGGGUGACCUGCCCUCAGCUCUGGGAUAAGCCUGGGAAACCGGGUCUAAUACCGGAUAUGACUCCAUGACGCAUGUUGUGGGGUGGAAAGCCUUGUGCGGCUGAGGAUGGGCCCGCGGCCUAUCAGCUUGUUGGUGGGGUGAUGGCCUACCAAGGCGACGACGGGUAGCCGGCCUGAGAGGCGACCGGCCACACUGGGACUGAGACACGGCCCAGACUCCGUACGGGAGGCAGCAGUGGGGAAUCCUGCGCAAUGGGCGAAAGCCUGACGCAGCGACGCCGCGUGA
rnacentral:rRNA from 1 species